UGGGGAAUUUUGGACAAUGGGGGAAACCCUGAUCCAGCCAUCCCGCGUGUGCGAUGAAGGCCUUCGGGUUGUAAAGCACUUUUGGCAGGAAAGAAACGUCGCGGGUUAAUACCCCGCGAAACUGACGGUACCUGCAGAAUAAGCACCGGCUAACUACGUGCCAGCAGCCGCGGUAAUACGUAGGGUGCAAGCGUUAAUCGGAAUUACUGGGCGUAAAGCGUGCGCAGGCGGUUCGGAAAGAAAGAUGUGAAAUCCCAGAGCUUAACUUUGGAACUGCAUUUUUAACUACCGGGCUAGAGUGUGUCAGAGGGAGGUGGAAUUCCGCGUGUAGCAGUGAAAUGCGUAGAUAUGCGGAGGAACACCGAUGGCGAAGGCAGCCUCCUGGGAUAACACUGACGCUCAUGCACGAAAGCGUGGGGAGCAAAACAGGAUUAGAUACCCUGGUAGUCCACGCCCUAAAACGAUGUCAACUAGCUGUUGGGGGCCUUCGGGCCUUGGUAGCGCAGCUAACGCGUGAAGUUGACCGCCUGGGGAGUACGGUC
rnacentral:rRNA from 1 species